CCAGAUUCAGUCUCUGUUGUGAAACUGCUUUGAGAUCAUAGACUAAAUAUUAAGUCUAUGUUUGAGAUAUGUUUGCUCUUGUUUGGUGGAC